rnacentral:rRNA from 1 species
UACGAAGGGUGCAAGCGUUAAUCGGAAUUACUGGGCGUAAAGCGUGCGUAGGCGGUUUCUUAAGUCCGUUGUGAAAGCCCUGGGCUCAACCUGGGAACUGCGAUGGAUACUGAGGAGCUGGAGUACGGUAGAGGAAGGUGGAAUUCCCGGUGUAGCGGUGAAAUGCGUAGAGAUCGGGAGGAACAUCAGUGGCGAAGGCGGCCUUCUGGACCAGUACCGACGCUGAGGCACGAAAGCGUGGGGAGCAAACAGG